rnacentral:rRNA from 1 species
GACGGGGACCCGCACAAGCGGUGGAUGAUGUGGAUUAAUUCGAUGCAACGCGAAGAACCUUACCUACCCUUGACAUGUCCGGAACUUGCCAGAGAUGGCUUGGUGCCCGAAAGGGAAUCGGAACACAGGUGCUGCAUGGCUGUCGUCAGCUCGUGUCGUGAGAUGUUGGGUUAAGUCCCGCAACGAGCGCAACCCUUAUCAUUAGUUGCUACGCAAGGGCACUCUAAUGAGACUGCCGGUGACAAACCGGAGGAAGGUGGGGAUGACGUCAAGUCCUCAUGGCCCUUAUGGGUAGGGCUUCACACGUCAUACAAUGGUCGGUACAGAGGGUUGCCAAGCCGCGAGGCGGAGCCAAUCCCACAAAGCCGAUCGUAGUCCGGAUUGUUCUCUGCAACUCGAGAGCAUGAAGUCGGAAUCGCUAGUAAUCGCAGGUCAGCAUACUGCGGUGAAUACGUUCCCGGGUCUU